rnacentral:rRNA from 1 species
AGAGUUUGAUCAUGGCUCAGAUUGAACGCUGGCGGCAGGCCUAACACAUGCAAGUCGAACGGUAACAGGAAGCAGCUUGCUGCUUUGCUGACGAGUGGCGGACGGGUGAGUAAUGUCUGGGAAACUGCCUGAUGGAGGGGGAUAACUACUGGAAACGGUGGCUAAUACCGCAUAACGUCGCAAGACCAAAGAGGGGGACCUUCGGGCCUCUUGCCAUCAGAUGUGCCCAGAUGGGAUUAGCUUGUUGGUGAGGUAACGGCUCACCAAGGCGACGAUCCCUAGCUGGUCUGAGAGGAUGACCAGCCACACUGGAACUGAGACACGGUCCAGACUCCUACGGGAGGCAGCAGUGGGGAAUAUUGCACAAUGGGCGCAAGCCUGAUGCAGCCAUGCCGCGUGUAUGAAGAAGGCCUUCGGGUUGUAAAGUACUUUCAGCAGGGAGGAAGGUGUUGUGGUUAAUAACCGCAGCAAUUGACGUUACCCGCAGAAGAAGCACCGGCUAACUCCGUGCCAGCAGCCGCGGUAAUACGGAGGGUGCAAGCGUUAAUCGGAAUUACUGGGCGUAAAGCGCACGCAGGCGGUCUGUCAAGUCGGAUGUGAAAUCCCCGGGCUCAACCUGGGAACUGCAUUCGAAACUGGCAGGCUUGAGUCUUGUAGAGGGGGGUAGAAUUCCAGGUGUAGCGGUGAAAUGCGUAGAGAUCUGGAGGAAUACCGGUGGCGAAGGCGGCCCCCUGGACAAAGACUGACGCUCAGGUGCGAAAGCGUGGGGAGCAAACAGGAUUAGAUACCCUGGUAGUCCACGCCGUAAACGAUGUCUACUUGGAGGUUGUGCCCUUGAGGCGUGGCUUCCGGAGCUAACGCGUUAAGUAGACCGCCUGGGGAGUACGGCCGCAAGGUUAAAACUCAAAUGAAUUGACGGGGGCCCGCACAAGCGGUGGAGCAUGUGGUUUAAUUCGAUGCAACGCGAAGAACCUUACCUGGUCUUGACAUCCACAGAACUUUCCAGAGAUGGAUUGGUGCCUUCGGGAACUGUGAGACAGGUGCUGCAUGGCUGUCGUCAGCUCGUGUUGUGAAAUGUUGGGUUAAGUCCCGCAACGAGCGCAACCCUUAUCCUUUGUUGCCAGCGAUUAGGUCGGGAACUCAAAGGAGACUGCCAGUGAUAAACUGGAGGAAGGUGGGGAUGACGUCAAGUCAUCAUGGCCCUUACGACCAGGGCUACACACGUGCUACAAUGGCGCAUACAAAGAGAAGCGACCUCGCGAGAGCAAGCGGACCUCAUAAAGUGCGUCGUAGUCCGGAUUGGAGUCUGCAACUCGACUCCAUGAAGUCGGAAUCGCUAGUAAUCGUGGAUCAGAAUGCCACGGUGAAUACGUUCCCGGGCCUUGUACACACCGCCCGUCACACCAUGGGAGUGGGUUGCAAAAGAAGUAGGUAGCUUAACCUUCGGGAGGGCGCUUACCACUUUGUGAUUCAUGACUGGGGUGAAGUCGUAACAAGGUAACCGUAGGGGAACCUGCGGUUG